CAGCAGCCACGGUAAUACGUAGGGGGCUAGCGUUAUCCGGAUUUACUGGGCGUAAAGGGUGCGUAGGUGGUCCUUCAAGUCGGUGGUUAAAGGCUACGGCUCAACCGUAGUAAGCCGCCGAAACUGGAGGACUUGAGUGCAGGAGAGGAAAGUGGAAUUCCCAGUGUAGCGGUGAAAUGCGUAGAUAUUGGGAGGAACACCAGUAGCGAAGGCGGCUUUCUGGACUGCAACUGGCACUGAGGCACGAAAGCGUGGGUAGCAAACAGGAUUAGAUACCCGUGUAGUCCCUGUCUCUUAUACA
rnacentral:rRNA from 1 species